GGGCUCACCAACGAACCUAUACAUUUUGGUUUUCCGGGUUCACCAAAAACCUUUGUUGGUUUUGCGGGCUCACCAACGAACCUAUACACUUUGGUUUUCCGGGUUCACCAAAAAUCUUUGUUGGUUUUACGGGCUCACCAACGAACCUUUACAAAUAGUUUGAUAAACAAAAAGAAAGAUUCAAACUCCUAAAUGAGCAAAUGUAACAAUAUUAACUACAAAGAAGAGUUAGAAAAUAUUUAUCACUUUGAAGUGGCUUCUCUCUUCUUUGUCAAGUAUGCUUCACUCUUCAAGGGAGGAUGGAGCUCUUGAUGACUCUUUGAAUCUGUUCAACCUCUUUCUUUGAUUCUUGAAUGAAGCUCUUGAAUGAAGAAGAUUAGGGCACUUUUGUUUUCUUGUGUACUCUUUGAUAUUCCUUUCAAAAGUUAUUCUAUCUGAUGAAUAGUGCCCCUUUAAAUAGCUU
rnacentral:lncRNA from 1 species